AACGAACGCUGGCGGCAGGCCUAACGCAUGCAAGUCGAACGCCCGUAGCAAUACGGGAGUGGCAGACGGGUGAGUAACGCGUGGGAACGUGCCCUUCGGUUCGGAAUAACUCAGGGAAACUUGAGCUAAUACCGGAUACGUCCGUAAGGAGAAAGAUUUAUCGCCGAAGGAUCGGCCCGCGUCGGAUUAGCUAGUUGGUGAGGUAAUGGCUCACCAAGGCGACGAUCCGUAGCUGGUCUGAGAGGAUGAUCAGCCACACUGGGACUGAGACACGGCCCAGACUCCUACGGGAGGCAGCAGUGGGGAAUAUUGGACAAUGGGCGAAAGCCUGAUCCAGCCAUGCCGCGUGAGUGAAGAAGGCCUUAGGGUUGUAAAGCUCUUUCAGCGGGAAGAUAAUGACGGUACCCGCAGAAGAAGCCCCGGCUAACUUCGUGCCAGCCGCCG
rnacentral:rRNA from 1 species